rnacentral:rRNA from 1 species
UAGCUCGUUGGUGGGGUAAUGGCUCACCAAGGCGACGAUCGGUAGGUGGUCUGAGAGGACGAUCACCCAGACUGGGACUGAGACACGGCCCAAACUCCUACGGGAGGCAGCAGUCGGGAAUUUUGCUCAAUGGGCGAAAGCCUGAAGCAGCAACGCCGCGUGAGGGAUGAAGGCCUUCGGGUUGUAAACCUCUUUUUCCAGGGACGAUAAUGACGGUACCUGAAGAAUAAGUCACGGCUAACUACGUGCCAGCAGCCGCGGUAAUACGUAGGUGACAAGCGUUGUCCGGAUUUACUGGGCGUAAAGAGCGCGCAAGCGGUCGUUCAAGUCGAGUGUGAAAGCCCCCGGCUCAACUGGGGAGGGUCAUUCGAUACUGAUCGACUCGAAGGCAGGAGAGGGAAGCGGAAUUCCCGGUGUAGUGGUGAAAUGCGUAGAUAUCGGGAGGAACACCAGUGGCGAAGGCGGCUUCCUGGCCUGUUCUUGACGCUGAGGCGCGGAAGCUAGGGGAGCAAACGGGAUUAGAUACCCCGGUAGUCCUAGCCGUAAACGAUGGACACUAGGUGUUGGUGGUAUCAACCCCACCAGUGCCGAAGCUAUGCAUUAAGUGUCCCGCCUGGGGAGUACGGCCGCAAGGCUAAAACUCAAAGGAAUUGACGGGGCCCCGCACAAGCAGCGGAGCGUGGGGUUUAAUUCGAUGCAACGCGAAGAACCUUACCAGGGCUUGACAUGACCAGGAAUCCGGCGGAGACGUCGGCGCCCCGCAAGGGGCCUGGCCACAGGUGUUGCAUGGCUGUCGUCAGCUCGUGUCGUGAGAUGUUGGGUUAAGUCCCGCAACGAGCGCAACCCCUAUCGUGUGUUGUAUCACUCACACGAGACUGCCGAGAGAAACUCGGAGGAAGGCGGGGAUGACGUCAAGUCAGCAUGGCCCUUACGUCCUGGGCUACACCCACGCUACAAUGGCCGGUACAACGGGCGGCGAAACCGCGAGGUGGAGCAAAUCCCUUAAAGCCGGUCUCAGUUCGGAUUGUAGGCUGCAACUCGCCUACAUGAAGCCGGAGUUGCUAGUAACCGCCGGUCAGCAUACGGCGGUGAAUAUGUUCCCGGGGCUUGUACACACCGCCCGUCACGUCAUGAAAGCUGGCAACACCCGAAGCCGGUGGGCCAACCCGCAAGGGAGGCAGCCGUCGAAGGUGGGGUCGGUGAUUGGGACGAAGUCGUAACAAGGUAGCCGUACCGGAAGGUGCGGCUG